CAGUGGCCACGCUCUUGAACAACGUGAUGACAAUGAAUGCUCUCGAAUGCUUCUUUCUGCAUGUUUCAGGUCAAACUUCUAGCCCUCUCCAGAGCCAGCAAUGUAUGAGUUUUGGCCGUCCAUUUUCAAAUUGUAUGAGUUUUGGCCAUCCCGCACAUUCUAGUGCAUCUUCCAGCACACUACGUAGAAGUGCCUUUGAAAACGAGGUGAUCAGGGUGCUGCAUCCGAUCCGCCUUACUCAAGAGGAUCAUUCAGCUCAGAUGAAUACUCUGACGUCUGGCCUGGAGGAGCGCCCAUCAGUGACUGCAGCAGAAGAGCGCGUAUUUGAGCCCUAUGAAGAGCUAGAUAAGUUCCUCGAAUUUGACAUGACUCUGUAAGAUGACACUGAGAUGAAGAAGUUGACAGAAACUCUGCGGAAGUAUGGAGGUAUCAAUCUCAGGGACGCCACACAAAGAAUCCUAAGAGCGUUGAUGUCAGACGAAGUCGCAACGGCAUUCAGCUGGAGAGGAAACAAAGGGAAAAAAAGGUUCUGCGACCUUCUCUGCUGCGAGGCUGU